rnacentral:rRNA from 1 species
AUUGAACGCUGGCGGCAGGCUUAACACAUGCAAGUCGAGCGGAGAUGAGGUGCUUGCACCUUAUCUUAGCGGCGGACGGGUGAGUAAUGCUUAGGAAUCUGCCUAUUAGUGGGGGACAACAUUCCGAAAGGAAUGCUAAUACCGCAUACGCCCUACGGGGGAAAGCAGGGGAUCUUCGGACCUGGCGCUAAUAGAUGAGCCUAAGUCGGAUUAGCUAGUUGGUGGGGUAAAGGCCUACCAAGGCGACGAUCUGUAGCGGGUCUGAGAGGAUGAGCCGCCACGCUGGGACUGAGACACGGCCCAGACGCCUACGGGAGGCAGCAGUGGGGAAUAUUGGACAAUGGAGGUAACCUUGAUCCAGCCAUGCCGCGUGUGUGAAGAAGGCCUUAUGGUUGUAAAGCACUUUAAGCGAGGAGGAGGCUACUGAGACUAAUACUCUUGGAUAGUGGACGUUACUCGCAGAAUAAGCACCGGCUAACUCUGUGCCAGCCGCCGCAGUAACAC